GCGUCGGUGGCAGAGUGGUCAAUUGCACUUGACUGUAAAUCAAGCGCCCUUAGGGCUACGAAGGUUCAAAUCCUUCCCGGCGCA
rnacentral:tRNA from 1 species